rnacentral:rRNA from 1 species
CCUACGGGUGGCAGCAGUGAGGAAUAUUGGUCAAUGGGCUUACGCCUGAACCAGCCAAGUCGCGUGAAGGAAGAAGGAAUUCGUUCUGUAAACUUCUGUUAUAAAGGAAGAAAGACGGAUGGAGGAAAUGACAUCCGAGUGACGGUACUUUAUGAGAAAGCCACGGCUAACUACGUGCCAGCAGCCGCGGUAAUACGUAGGUGGCAAGCGUUAUCCGGAAUUAUUGGGCGUAAAGAGGGAGCAGGCGGCAGCAAAGGUCUGUGGUGAAAGACUGAAGCUUAACUUCAGUAAGCCAUAGAAACCGGGCAGCUAGAGUGCAGGAGAGGAUCGUGGAAUUCCAUGUGUAGCGGUGAAAUGCGUAGAUAUAUGGAGGAACACCAGUGGCGAAGGCGACGAUCUGGCCUGCAACUGACGCUCAGUCCCGAAAGCGUGGGGAGCAAAUAGGAUUAGAUACCCCUGUAGUC